UGGCGAACGGGUGAGUAACACGUGGGUAAUCUGCCCUGCACUCUGGGAUAAGCCUGGGAAACUGGGUCUAAUACUGGAUAUGACCUUUCUCCUUAUGGGGUUUGGUGGAAAGUUUUUCGGUGUAGGAUGAGCCCGCGGCCUAUCAGCUUGUUGGUGGGGUGAUGGCCUACCAAGGCGACGACGGGUAGCCGGCCUGAGAGGGUGAUCGGCCACAUUGGGACUGAGAUACGGCCCAGACUCCUACGGGAGGCAGCAGCC
rnacentral:rRNA from 1 species